CCGGCGGCGUGCUACACUGCACGCUUUAGGAGAAAAGGGUAGCAUAUCUGAGUACUACGGCGAACGGGUGAGUAACACGUAAGCAACCUUCCUUAUAAACGGGAAUAACCCCGCGAAAGCGGGACUAAUACCCGAUGACAUUUCGAAGCACGCAUUACUCUUGAAAUCAAAGGCCGUAAGGCGAUAUAAGAUGGGCUUGCGUCCCAUUAGAUAGUUGGCGGGGUAACGGCCCACCAAGUCGACGAUGGGUAGCUGGUCUGAGAGGACGAUCAGCCACACUGGAACUGAGACACGGUCCAGACUUCUACGGAAGGCAGCAGUGAGGAAUAUUGCUCAAUGGGCGAAAGCCUGAAGCAGCGACGCCGCGUGAGGGAUGAAAUCCGUUAGGAUGUAAACCUCUUUUGCAGGGGAUGAAUGUUCCCUUUUAGGGAAUUGACCGUACCCUGUGAAUAAGCACCGGCCAACUACGUGCCAGCAGCCGCGGUAAUACGUAGGGUGCAAGCGUUGUCCGGAAUUACUGUGGUGUAACAGGGUCCGCAGGCGGGCAAGCAAGUCGGUGGUGAAAGCUCUUCGCUCAACGGAGAGACUGCCAUUGAUAACUGUUUGUCUUGACUUCGAGAAGACGAUGAUGGAAUUCAUGGUGUAAGCGGUUGGAAAUGCGUUAAGAUCAUGGAAGGAACACACCGGGUAGCGAAGGCCGGGCCAUCCUGGCCUCCGAUUACUGGACGCUCAAGGAACGAAACCGUGGGGUCGCCAACAGGGAUUCAUUACCCGGUUAGUCCACGCCCUAAACGAAA
rnacentral:rRNA from 1 species